CCCUCCCGCGCGGUGCAACCGGGGUACCCUUAGCUGGGCGUCCCGGGGACCCGCGUCGUUUACUUUGAGAAAAUUAUAGUGUUCAAAGCAGGCGUUCGCUUGAAUACGUUAGCAUGGAAUAAUGGAAUAGGGCUCCGGUUCUAUUUUGUUGGUUUUCGGACUUUUGCCGAAGCAAUGAUUAAUAGGGAUAGUUGGGGGCGUCAAUAUUUGAUUGU
rnacentral:rRNA from 1 species